GACGAACGCUGGCGGCGCACCUAAGACAUGCAAGUCGGACGGGGGCUUCGGCCCCAGUGGCGGACGGGUGAGUAACACGUAGGAGACCUGCCCCGGGGUGGGGGAUACCACCGGGAAACCGGUGCUAAGACCGCAUCCGUCCUCCCGCAUAGCGGCGGGAGGGGAAAUACUUCGGUAGCCCUGGGAGGGUCCUGCGGCGGAUUAGGUAGUUGGGGGGGUAGAGGCCCACCAAGCCGACGAUCCGUAGCUGGUCUGAGAGGACGACCAGCCACACCGG
rnacentral:rRNA from 1 species